rnacentral:rRNA from 1 species
CAGCAGCCACGGGAAUACGGAGGGUGCAAGCGUUACUCGGAAUCACUGGGCGUAAAGGACGCGUAGGCGGAUUAUCAAGUCUCUUGUGAAAUCUAACGGCUUAACCGUUAAACUGCUUGGGAAACUGAUAAUCUAGAGUAAGGGAGAGGCAGAUGGAAUUCUUGGUGUAGGGGUAAAAUCCGUAGAUAUCAAGAAGAAUACCUAUUGCGAAGGCGAUCUGCUGGAACUUAACUGACGCUAAUGCAUGAAAGCGUGGGGAGCAAACAGGAUUAGAUACCCGUGUAGUCCCUGUCUAUUAUAA